UACAGAGGGUGCAAGCGUUGUUCGGAAUUAUUGGGCGUAAAGCGCGUGUAGGCGGCUUUGCAAGUCGGGUGUGAAAGCCCUCAGCUCAACUGAGGAAGUGCGCCCGAAACUGGCAGGCUGGAGUACUAAAGAGGGUCGCGGAAUUCCCGGUGUAGAGGUGAAAUUCGUAGAUAUCGGGAGGAACACCGGUGGCGAAGGCGGCGACCUGGGUAGAUACUGACGCUGAGGUGCGAAAGCGUGGGGAGCAAACAGG
rnacentral:rRNA from 1 species